rnacentral:rRNA from 1 species
AGCUUGCUCUCUGGUGGCGAGCGGCGAACGGGUGAGUAAUAUAUCGGAACGUGUCCAAUAAUGGGGGAUAACGAGUCGAAAGAUUCGCUAAUACCGCAUACGCCCUACGGGGGAAAGCAGGGGAUCGUAAGACCUUGCGUUAAUGGAGCGGCCGAUAUCUGAUUAGCUUGUUGGUGAGGUAAAGGCUCACCAAGGCGACGAUCAGUAGCUGGUUUGAGAGAACGACCAGCCACACUGGAACUGAGACACGGUCCAGACUCCUACGGGAGGCAGCAGUGGGGAAUUUUGGACAAUGGGGGCAACCCUGAUCCAGCCAUUCCGCGUGAGUGAAGAAGGCCUUCGGGUUGUAAAGCUCUUUCGCAAGGGAAGAAAACUUAUGAUCGAAUAAAUCAUGAGGUUGACGGUACCUUGAUAAGAAGCACCGGCUAACUACGUGCCAGCAGCCGCGGUAAUACGUAGGGUGCGAGCGUUAAUCGGAAUUACUGGGCGUAAAGCGUGCGCAGGCGGUUUUG